UACGUAGGGUGCAAGCGUUGUUCGGAAUCAUUGGGCGUAAAGCGCGUGUAGGUGGUUAUGUAAGUCGAGUGUGAAAUCCCUGGGCUCAACCGAGGAAGUGCAUCCGAAACUACAUAGCUAGAGGACGGUAGAGGAAGGUGGAAUUCCUAGUGUAGAGGUGAAAUUCGUAGAUAUUAGGAGGAAUACCGGUGGCGAAGGCGGCCUUCUGGCCGGACCUGACGACUGAGGAGCGAAAGCGUGGGGAGCGAACAGG
rnacentral:rRNA from 1 species